UGCGAAUUAAAGUGAAACCGCAAAGCGCUCAGUAAACCAGUUUUAAUUUACUAGAGUAAUCGCCUCACGGGGCCGUGGAUAACUGUGGUAAUUCUAGAGCUAAUACAAGCAACCAAGCCCUGACCUUAACUGGAAAGGGCGCAUUUAUUAGAUCAAAACCAAUCGCCCGGCUCGCCUGAGCGUUGGUUUGGUGACUCUAGAUAACACCUCAGUUCGCACUGUCUCCGUACUGGCGACGCAUCUUUCAAAUGCCUGACUUAUCAACUGUCGAUGGUAGACUCCUUGUCUACCAUGGUAGUUACGGGUAACGGGGAAUCAGGGUUCGAUUCCGGAGAGGGAGCCUGAGAAACGGCUACCACAUCCAAGGAAGGCAGCAGGCACGCAAAUUACCCAUUUCCAGAACGGAGAGGUAGUGACAAAAAAUAACGAUACGGGACUCUAUUGAGGCCCCGUAAUCGGAAUGAGUACACUUUAAAUCCUUUAACGAGGAUCCAUUGGAGGGCAUGUCUGGUGCCAGCAGCCGCGGUAAUUCCAGCUCCAAUAGCGUAUAUUAAAGUUGUUGCAGUUAAAAAGCUCGUAGUUGGUUUUGCGUGCCACGCUGCCGGUUCGCCGCCUGUCGGUGCAACUGGCACGCUGUGGCUCGUCCUGUCGGUGGUGAACGGGUCCCUGGCGGGUGUCUUGGGCUCCGGCCGAAGGCGCUGCCGUGGGUAACCGUUUUGCCGAAACCCUACCCGGUGCUCUUAAACGAGUGUCGAGGUAGGCCGACAAAUUCACUUUGAACAAAUUAGAGUGCUUAAAGCAGGCCUUGAUCCAGCCUGAAUAGUGGUGCAUGGAAUAAUGAAAUAGGACCUCGGUUCUGUUUUGUUGGUUUUUGGAACACAAGGUAAUGAUCAAUGUGGACAGGCGGGGGCAUACGUAUUGCGGCGUUAGAGGUGAAAUUCUUGGAUCGUCGCAAGACGCACUAGAGCGAAAGCAUUUGCCAAGUAUGUCUUAAUUGAUCAAGAACGAAAGUUAGAGGUUCGAAGGCGAUCAGAUACCGCCCUAGUUCUAACCAUAAACGAUGCCAGCCAGCGAUCCGACGUGUUCCUACUACGACACGUGCGGGCAGCUUUUUCCCGGGAAACCAAAGCUCUUGGGUUCCGGGGGAAGUAUGGUUGCAAAGCUGAAACUUAAAGGAAUUGACGGAAGGGCACCACCAGGAGUGGAGCCUGCGGCUUAAUUUGACUCAACACGGGAAACCUCACCAGGUCAGGACAUUGAAAGGAUUGACAGAUUGACAGCUCUUUCUUGAUUCAGUGGGUAGUGGUGCAUGGCCGUUCUUAGUUGGUGGAGCGAUUUGUCUGGUUAAUUCCGAUAACGAACGAGACUCUAGCCUAUUAACUAGGUGUUUACCGGUAUUACAGCUACCGGCGAUUAAUAUCCUUCUUAAGGGGACAGGCGGCUUCCAGCCGCACGAAAUUGAGCAAUAACAGGUCUGUGAUGCCCUUAGAUGUCCUGGGCCGCACGCGCGCUACACUGAAGCAAUCAGCGUGUGCCUCCCUGGCCUAACGGCUCGGGUAACCCGCUGAACCUGUUUCGUGCUAGGAAUUGGGGAUUGCAAUUAUUCCCCAUGAACGAGGAAUUCCCAGUAAGCGCGAGUCAUAAGCUCGCGUUGAUUACGUCCCUGCCCUUUGUACACACCGCCCGUCGCUACUACCGAUUGAAUGAUUUAGUGAGGUCUUCGGACCGGCGGUAAUCGGUCCGGAUCCGUCUGGAUUGACGAACGCUGGAAAGAUGACCAAACUUGAUCAUUAGAGGAA
rnacentral:rRNA from 1 species